UGGGGUGUCGGCAAGUGGUAAGCUAACGGAUUUUGAUUCCGUCAUUCCUAGGUUCGAAUCCUAGCACCCCAGCCA
rnacentral:tRNA from 3 species